rnacentral:rRNA from 1 species
CACGUAGGGUGCGAGCGUUGUCCGGAAUUAUUGGGCGUAAAGAGCUCGUAGGCGGUCUGUCACGUCGGCUGUGAAAUCCCGAGGCUCAACCCCGGGUCUGCAGUCGAUACGGGCAAACUAGAGUAUUGCAGGGGAGACUGGAAUUCCUGGUGUAGCGGUGAAAUGCGCAGAUAUCAGGAGGAACACCUGCGGCGAAGGCGGGUAGCUGGGCCGACACUGACGCUGAGGCGCGAAAGCCAGGGGAGCGAACGGG